CCUACGGGAGGCAGCAGUGAGGAAUAUUGGUCAAUGGGAGAGAUCCUGAACCAGCCAAGCCGCGUGAGGGAAGACGGCCCUAUGGGUUGUAAACCUCUUUUGUCGGAGAACAAAACCCGGGACGUGUCCCGGACUGCGUGUAUCCGAAGAAAAGCAUCGGCUAACUCCGUGCCAGCAGCCGCGGUAAUACGUAGGGGGCGAGCGUUAUCCGGAUUUACUGGGUGUAAAGGGAGCGUAGACGGUUCUGCAAGUCUGAAGUGAAAGCCCGUGGCUUAACCGCGGAACGGCUUUGGAAACUGUGGAAC
rnacentral:rRNA from 1 species